GGGUUGUGAGGUUAAGCGACUAAGCGUACACGGUGGAUGCCCUGGCAGUCAGAGGCGAUGAAGGACGUGCUAAUCUGCGAAAAGCGCCGGCGAGGUGAUAUGAACCCUUGA
rnacentral:rRNA from 3 species